UUCAGUUCUCCUGAUUUUUCUCUGUAUUUAACUCCUCUCCAUUGUUUUUAAUUUUCUCCAAAGUUACAAUUAUCGGCCAGUUGGAAAAUGCAGAUGCCUCUGCCAAAGAAAAGUUCACCCCUUAUUCAUCUUUGAUCAAAAGUCUGGAUCUACAUAGACCAACUAAAAGGAAAGGUGCUAGGCUGUGAUCAAAGAAAUCCAAGGAAUCCAAACCGAAUGUGCCUUACAUCAGGAAAUUUGGUAAAAAUCCAGUUACAAGAGCACCAUUGAAAGGAGAAGAUUUGAUUCCUCUCAUCUUUCACAAGUACAUUGAAGGAGAGUAUCAUUGUCCUGUUCUGCAACAAAAGCAAGAGCAGUUGAUGUGAAGACUACCGGAAAUGUGUUAUGCUACGAGAGUAAAUCUCCAGAUCUAUGGAGGGGUCCGAGACUAAUCUCUCUGGAGAGAGGGUAUCUCACGGAUAGGGUCCCUUCCAGGUAUGCAAAUGGAUCGUAAGCAAUGGGCACAUACCCAUGUGACCAAAGGGAUAAAGCUGAGUAAUUUUGCGUUUGGGUAGAAUCGAACUCUGGCCUAGACCAACAUGGCGACUCUUUCACCAAGGGUAGAACCACUAGCCCACCACCUCAUGGUUUAUUUGACUCCUUUCUCUUUCUUUGAUACUUUGCAAUGAGUAUAUUAUGUGUGAUCUUAAAAAUGGCCUCUUCGAUGAUGAAAGUUUGAUAUCCCUAUAUUAUGUGUGCUUUGAGUUUCUGUCUACUAACUAUUUGUCAAAUAGCCUGACAGCAAACUUUGUCCCGUUUCUAAUUUAGAACCAUUUAAUUGAUUGAUGAACAAUUUGUUUCUCUAUUUUUGAUAAGCUUUGUUUUUUUUGCGAGGAAGUUUUUUGCAGAGUGGAGUAAAUGGGUGACAUUGUAACCAACUAGAGUCUUAGCUUUCAUGUAUAAAGCCAGAGAAAUUCUUCAAGUUGAUUGCUGUAAUGUAUAAGUGUUUGUGGUUGUAGCAAAUUCAAGAGUAAAAAAGCAUGCCAAAUUCAACAAGGAUUCCAAGCAAAAAAAAACAUUAAAAGAAACUAAUCAAAUCUUGGAAGAAGCAUCUGUCUUUUAGAAAUUACAAGAGACUUAAUGAAGAAAUUCGAAUAAGCAUUCACCUUUUACACCGGGCGUCGGGCGAGAUAUACAAGAGGCCACCAACUUUGUUGAGUUUGGGAAUACAUACAUAUAUGUUUUUUAUUUUUAUGUUUUUGACCCGUUCUAGAUUUUUACAUACAUACAUAUAUUUGGCUGUAUUUUAACUUUAUAGACUUUGAUCUAAGUUUAUAAUAGUA